rnacentral:rRNA from 1 species
AUUGAACGCUGGCGGCGGGCCUAAACCAUGCAAGUCGAGCGAAGGAAGGAGGCUGGUCCUUGGAUGAGGGGGGGGACGGGGGGGUAAGUCCUAGGAAUUGGCCGGGUAUGGGGGAAUAAGGUCGGGAAAGGGGGCCAAAUCCCCCAACGGUCCGGAGGGGGAAGGGGAGGGUUCUCGGGACCAACCCCAUCAGGAUGGCCCUAGGCGGGAUAAGCUAGUUGGUGGGGUAAAGGCCUACCAAGGCAACGAUCCGUAACUGGUCUGAGAGGAUGAUCAGUCACACUGGAACUGAGACACGGUCCAGACUCCUACGGGAGGCAGCAGUAGGGAAUAUUGGACAAUGGGCGAAAGCCUGAUCCAGCCAUGCCGCGUGUGUGAAGAAGGUCUUCGGAUUGUAAAGCACUUUUAGUUGGGAGGAAGGGCAGUGAGUUUAUACCUUGCUGUUUUGACGUUACCAACAGAAAAAGCACCGGCUAACUUCGUG